rnacentral:rRNA from 1 species
GGGCCCGCACAAGCGGUGGAGCAUGUGGUUUAAUUCGAUGAUACGCGAGGAACCUUACCAGGGCUUAAAUGUAGGUUGCAUGAUCUAGAGAUAGAUCUUUCUUCGGACUACCUACAAGGUGCUGCAUGGUUGUCGUCAGCUCGUGCCGUGAGGUGUCAGGUUAAGUCCUAUAACGAGCGCAACCCCUGUCGUUAGUUGCCAACGAGUAAUGUCGGGAACUCUAACGAAACUGCCGGUGCAAACCGUGAGGAAGGUGGGGAUGACGUCAAAUCAUCACGGCCCUUACGUCCUGGGCUACACACGUGCUACAAUGGUCGGUACAGAGAGCAGCCACUACGCGAGUAGGAGCAAAUCUCUUAAAGCUUGUCUCAGUUCGGAUAGGAGUCUGCAACUCGACUCCUUGAAGUUGGAGUCGCUAGUAAUCG